rfam:Togninia minima TCRPA7 unplaced genomic scaffold PA7_03_scaffold_397, whole genome shotgun sequence.
GCUCAAGAAGCUCAAUUGGUUGAGCGAGGCACUGAAGAUGCCCAGGCUGUAAGUUCGAUUCUUACCUUGAGCA